rnacentral:rRNA from 1 species
UAAUACAUGCAAGUCGAACGAAGUAGCAAUACUUAGUGGCAGACGGGUGAGUAUAAUGUGGGAAUCUGCCCAUUGGUUUGGAAUAACACGAGGAAACUUGUGCUAAUACCAGAUAAGCCUUUACGGGGAAAGCUUUAUGCGCCGAUGGAUGAGCCCGCACUUGAUUAGCUAGUUGGUAAGGUAAAAGCUUACCAAGGCUACGAUCAAUAGCUGAUCUGAGAGGAUGAUCAGCCACAUUGGGACUGAGACACGGCCCAAACUCCUACGGGAGGCAGCAGUAGGGAAUCUUGCACAAUGGGGGAAACCCUGAUGCAGCGAUGCCGCGUGAGUGAAGAAGGCCCUUGGGUUGUAAAGCUCUUUCGUCGGGGAAGAAAAUGACUGUACCCGAAUAAGAAGGUCCGGCUAACUUCGUGCCAGCAGCCGCGGUAAUACGAAGGGACCUAGCGUAGUUCGGAAUUACUGGGCUUAAAGAGCUCGUAGGUGGUUAGAAAAGUUGGUGGUGAAAUCCCAAGGCUUAACCUUGGAACUGCCACCAAAACUUUUUAACUAGAGUAUGAUAGAGGUAAGCGGAAUUUCUAGUGUAGAGGUGAAAUUCGUAGAUAUUAGAAAGAACACCAAUUGCGAAGGCAGUUUACUGGAUCAUUACUGACACUGAGGAGCGAAAGCAUGGGUAGCGAAGAGGAUUAGAUACCCUCGUAGUCCAUGCUGUAAACGAUGUGUGCUAGACGUUGGAAAUUUAUUUUUCAGUGUCGCAGCAAAAGCG